GAUGAAGAACGCAGCGAAAUGCGAUACGUAAUGUGAAUUGCAAAUUCAGUGAAUCAUCGAGUCUUUGAACGCACAUUGCGCCCCCUGGUAUUCCGGGGGGCAUGCCUGUCCGAGCGUCAUUGCUGCCCUCAAGCACGGCUUGUGUGUUGGGCCCCGUCCUCCGAUCCCGGGGGACGGGCCCGAAAGGCAGCGGCGGCACCGCGUCCGGUCCUCGAGCGUAUGGGGCUUUGUCACCCGCUCUGUAGGCCCGGCCGGCGCUUGCCGAUCAACCCAAAUUUUUUAUCCAAGUUGACCUCGGAUCAGGUAGGGAUACCCGCUGAACUUAAGCAUAUCAAUAAGCGGAGGA
rnacentral:misc_RNA from 1 species